rnacentral:rRNA from 1 species
CCUACGGGAGGCAGCAGUCGAGAAUCAUUCACAAUGGGGGAAACCCUGAUGGUGCGACGCCGCGUGGGGGAAUGAAGGUCUUCGGAUUGUAAACCCCUGUCAUGUGGGAGCAAAUUAAAAAGAUAGUACCACAAGAGGAAGAGACGACUAACUCUGUGCCAGCAGCCGCGGUAAUACAGAGGUCUCAAGCGUUGUUCGGAAUCACUGGGCGUAAAGCGUGCGUAGGCUGUUUCGUAAGUCGUGUGUGAAAGGCGCGGGCUCAACCCGCGGACGGCACAUGAUACUGCGAGACUAGAGUAAGGGAGGGGGAACCGGAAUUCUCGGUGUAGCAGUGAAAUGCGUAGAUAUCGAGAGGAACACUCGUGGCGAAGGCGGGUUCCUGGACAUUAACUGACGCUGAGGCACGAAGGCCAGGGGAGCGAAAGGGAUUAGAUACCCUAGUAGUC